UGCCCGGAAACUCCUAUCCCUACCUCCUCGUGAUACCGGCCGGAAACUAUGAGCAACCUUAGGGAAGAUCGGGUAACCAACUCAGGGAAGG
rnacentral:ribozyme from 1 species